GUGGAAUUUUCUAGGGUUUUGGAGAUGUCUUCUCUUUCUCCGAUGACAAUGAAGAUGUGUUUUAAUCCAAGCUGUGAAAGAGACACUAAAUCGGAAACAACAACUUACCGGAGAGGAUGGCGUCUAAGAACCGGCGAUUCUGCUCAACUCUGCGAAACAUGUGCUUCUGCUUACGACUCAGGGAGGUUCUGCGAUAUGUUUCACAGUAGUGCUGCUGGUUGGAGGAACUGCGAAUCUUGUGGAAAACGACUGCACUGCGGAUGCAUUGUUUCUACACAAUCCUUCGUACUUUUGGAUGCCGGAGGUGUCGAUUGUAUGAGUUGUGCUAGGAAGAAUGUCAAGAUGGCGGCGCGUGGAGGAGAGUUCGACUGGCUGCGGAAGAACCCUAAAGCUUGAAUUAGUCCGAUCGGAAUGUGUUUGAAUUAGUCGAUCGGAAUGUGUUUAUUUUUCUAAUUUGUAAAAUAAUAUUUCUAUCUAAGUAGUUUAAUUGAAUUGAUGUAGAGUACCGAUUUUAUCAUAAAGCAGUCUGAUUCUCCCAUCCCUAACCUAAUAAUUCAAGUUUAAUUGAAUUGAAUUUAUGUAGAGUACCAAUUUAAUUAUCACAGGUGGGAAAUUUCUUCGAAUGCGGCACCAGUCAGGUAUGGUUCUUUAGAUUUCUUCAAGGAUGUUAGUUAGUCCUAAUUUAAUUUUUUUUGUUCAAAUGUCCAAUUUGUCUCUUGAAGGGUUUAAAGAUAAGUUUUUACUAUGAGAUUUUAUUUUGCCAGGUUAUCUUGUUGUUUUAUUACCAUUAUUUUGUCAAAGCUCCAUUUUGAGCAUAGACAUUUUGCUCCAUUUAAUUUUGUAACUUUUGUAAUAAAUUUUCAUUUGUUUGUUUCCCUCAAACAAAUGAGAAUGUUUGGAUGUGGUAGUUGUAUUGUUAUCAAUGAGGGAACACAAUUUGAGAAAAAAAAUGGAUGUUUACAAGAGAUUGGGGGUUGAUCUGAGGAUCAAAUUCAAUCAGCAUUCUGGAUGAAUUCUACAUGUAUGAAGGUGUCUUUGAAGAAGAUUACGGCGGUUCCGAGUUUCCUUGGAAAUGAAAUGUUAAUGGAUUACCAUGAUUCAUCAAGUAUUGCUGAAUUCUUGAUAGUUUUUUGUUAUAGCUUGAAGGAGAGGAUUUUCCCAAGGUGCUCUAUUAUCAGGAUUUUAGUCUCCAAAGGUCUGAUUAAGGAAAAGAUCUCUUCAACUAUGGUAGACAAGUCUUUUUUGGAGACGUUUGUAAUUAAGUAUGAGCAAGAAGUUUCUCAACCAAUGGAGGUAUUCCAAGAUCAGUUAAAUUAGCAACAGCUACUUCAGAACUGAAGGAUUUCAUGAGAUGACUGCGCAGUACUGAGUUCUGUCCAUACCUUUUUUUACUUGUGAAAAUUGGGACUAUUCAGUUGGAGUACACUGAUGUGAAGAGAGCCUCCUUCAAGCUGCUCGUAAAGCUCCUAUUGGAGCCCUUGGCUUCCGAGUUCAAUGCAACAAAUGGGCACCGUAGUUUGAUUGCUGUUGAGGGAAGUACCAGAGAGAACUGUCUUCAUGCCUUUCACAACAGUUCUGAGGCCAUAAUUUGAGCUUGCAAAUGUGAGUUUGACCCUUCAAACUGGACUAAAUGAGGUAUUGCCUAUUCUUCUGCUCCAGUUGGUUAAGGCAGGCCAGCUUAAAGGAAGUGAUGGAGUACAUCCUACUAAGAGCUCUCAAAAGUGUUAAACGUCGAAGAUAAUAGUUCAAGGUUUUUCCAGAUGAAUGAAAUUUGGUAGUUUAUUGAUCAGUGACACCACACCUAGAUAGAACAAGUUAACAGGAGUUGCAAGACUUAGUAGGGGAAGGAAAAAUGCACAGAACUAAUUGGAAGAUGAUGAGGAAACAUUAGAUAAGUUGGUAAAUACUCGAAUGCUUAGUGAAUUGUUAACUGACCAGAUGGUGCCAUUGAUGCAACUUUGGACAAUGCAAAUGGGUGGAUGGUAUCAAAGGAGACUGGGGAUAUUUACUCCACAAAUGAACCUCAAGCACCUUUCAACUCGAGGAACGCCUUCUGCCUCAACAUGCGCGCACUGUGAUUCCUCCACAUACACAUAAGAAGGAAAAGGAAAGUGCAGAAAAUAGGAGGGAGACGCACCAACAGGAGCAGCAGGAGAAGCUUGCAAAGCAUAUUGCCGAGGAGGAUGAAGAUGAGUUUUAAUGCUCACCUGCGUUUGUCAAGUUGUUAACUAGACAGUACCUUUCCUUGUGUUUGUUUGUAAAACUGGUCUCGGUAGGUUUCAAAAGAAA